rnacentral:tRNA from 1 species
AAAGCUUUAAGUUAAAAAAACUAUUAACCUUCAAAGUUAAAAAUACAAAAAAGUAAGCUUUA